rnacentral:rRNA from 1 species
AACGAACGCUGGCGGCAGGCCUAACACAUGCAAGUCGAGCGAGGACUUCGGUCCUAGCGGCGGACGGGUGAGUAACGCGUGGGAACGUGCCCUUUGCUUCGGAAUAGCCCUGGGAAACUGGGAGUAAUACCGGAUGAGCCCUUUGGGGGAAAGAUUUAUCGGCGAAGGAUCGGCCCGCGUUGGAUUAGGUAGUUGGUGGGGUAAUGGCCUACCAAGCCGACGAUCCAUAGCUGGUUUGAGAGGAUGAUCAGCCACACUGGGACUGAGACACGGCCCAGACUCCUACGGGAGGCAGCAGUGGGGAAUCUUAGACAAUGGGGGAAACCCUGAUCUAGCCAUGCCGCGUGAGCGAUGAAGGCCUUAGGGUUGUAAAGCUCUUUCAGCUAGGAAGAUAAUGACGGUACCAGCAGAAGAAGCCCCGGCUAACUCCGUG